AUACGGAGGGUGCAAGCGUUAUCCGGAAUCACUGGGUUUAAAGGGUGCGUAGGCGGUUGUAUAAGUCAGUGGUGAAAGGCCGUAGCUUAACUAUGGGAUUGCCAUUGAUACUGUAUGACUUGAAUGAGGUUGAGGUUGGCGGAAUGUGGCAUGUAGCGGUGAAAUGCUUAGAUAUGCCAUGGAACAUCGAUUGCGAAGGCAGCUGACUGGACCUGAAUUGACGCUGAGGCACGAAAGCGUGGGGAGCGAACAGGAUUAGAUACCCUGGUAGUCCACGCCCUAAACGAUGCUUACUCGUUGUUUGAUCGAAAGAUUGAGUGACUAAGCGAAAGCGAUAAGUAAGCCACCUGGGGAGUACGACCGCAAGGUUGAA
rnacentral:rRNA from 1 species